AUGAGCUCAGAUGCUCAGCAUAAAGCAGCUGUAGGAGAGAAGGGCAUGUGCAUGAUGGAGGAACUAGAGCAGCUUCAAGACAUCAGGGAACCAGACAGAGAAGCUGCAGGUGAUGUGAUACAGAUGUGGGCUGGAGCAAUCAGCUGUGUGGACACAGCUGGCUCCAUAAAUACCCUGGGCUGCUUGGUGAAAAGCUACUUCCCUGAGCCAGUAACAGUGACUUGGAAUUCAGGAUCCCUGACAAGUGGAGUGCACACCUUCCCAGCUGUCCUGCACUCAGGCCUGUACUCACUCACCAGCAUGGUAACUGUGCCCUCCAGCAAGAAGAAGGCCACCUGCCAUGUAGUCCAUGCAGCCAGUAACACCAAGGUGGACAAGGCUCCUGAGCUCCUAGGAGGACCAUCUGUCUUCAUCUUCCCCCCGAAGCCCAAGGAUACACUGAUGAUCUCCCUGACCCCUAAAAUCACAUGCGUUGUGAUAGAUGUGAGCCAGGAAGACCCCGAAAUUGAGUUCACCUGGUACGUGGAUGGCAAGGAGAUAAAAACAGCUGAAAUGAAGCCCAAGGAAGAGCAACUCAAUGGCACAUUGCGUAUGGUCAGUGUCCUCCCCAUCCAGCACCAGGACUGGUUGAAGGGCAAAGAGUUCACAUGCAAGGUCAACAGCAAAGCCCUUCCAGCCCCCAUUGAAAAGACCAUCUCCAAAGCCAAAGGGCCAGCCAAGAGCCCAGAGGUGUAUGUCCUGCCCCCACCCCGAGAAGAGCUGUCCAAGGACAAAGUCAGUCUAACCUGCAUGAUCACUGGCUUCUACCCUGCUGACAUAGAUGUGCAGUGGAAUACAAAUAGACAACUAGACUACAAGACCACCCCAGCUGUCUUGGACUCUGAUAACACCUUCUUCCUCUACAGCAAGCUCACAGUGGAAAAAAGCAGCUGGGAAGAAGGAAACAGCUACACCUGCUCCGUGAUGCACGAAGCUCUGCACAAUCACGUCACUCAGAAGACCAUCUCCCGGUCUCCGGGUAAAUGA